GUCGUCGUCGUCGGGGCUGCUCGGGGCGAUCCGCGGGGCCGACCUUCCCCUGGGGCCGUCUGCCAGGUCUCGCUCGGCCCUGGACUCGCAGAUUGGGGUCCGGGUCCUCAGCAGACACAUCGUUAAUAUAGAACAGAUAUGCAUUGCCCUGCUGGAGAUCAACAACCACACCAGGGAGGAACAGAUGCUUCAGCAGAUCUGCCUCAUGCUCAACGAUAUCCAGGAACAGAUCCACUCUCUGCGGCUGCCCGAGGACUCCCAGGUGGUGGAGGACCUCGCCGGGGCCUUCUCCGAGACCCUGCCCACCCCGCCCAAGUUGAUUCAGGAGGAGGAGGGAGGAGAGGCGCCCGUCCCCCCUCCCGACCUACCUCCUCGGCAACAGUGAGUCUAGUGGCGGGGGUGGUGGUAGCAGUGGUGGUGGUGGUGGUGGUGCAGGGGCGGCGGCAGCGGCGGCGAGCUCCCCCUUCCUGCCUAGGGUACACCAGCGCACCUCCUCGGGCUACCUGUGUCCCCGACCUACCCCGAGUUCAAGCGCUGGGCAUCACGCAGCGCAUCCAGGCUUGGGACUUCACCCGCUGCCGCAUCCCAGACAUCUCGGACGGUGUGGCUAAUGUGGUGGUGCGGAAGUGCAAGAUCCACAACGACGCGAGUGUGGACAUAUCCUCCGACGGCACCAUGCUGGCGGCCCUCAUCCCCGAGAGCCAGGCGAUGACCAUGGUUGGGGAGAAGACAGGAGGAGGAGGAGGAGGAGGAGGAAGAGGAGGAGGAGUGCCUGAUCCAGCAAGGUGAUUCACUGUCCGUCCACCCUCAGGAAAGACCUUUGAGAUCCAGCUCCGGAAAACUUCGAAAGGAAGAACCAAAGGAAGGAAGGAAGACCAUCUCAGAAGACCCCAGAGUCAGCCCCUACAGUCCAUCAUAGUCCAAGAAAUAGCUGAAGGAAGUCCCAAGUCCAAGCGACCUUCCUUUCUUUCUGAUUCAAGUCGUCUGUACCUUCAGCGAGGGGGCAAGGCGACCAUGGACCUCUCCCUUCCCUUCCUUCCUUCCCUUUCCCUUCCCUUUCCUUCCUUUUCCUUCCCCUUCCCUUCCUGUCCCUUCCCUUCCCUUCCUGUCCCUUCCCUUCCCUUCCUGUCCCUUCCCCUCCCUGUCAUCAGCCACACAGUGUCUGCCAUCCAUGUCUUGCAGCAGGCCAGCCAUUCUGACUUGCUCUUCCUUCCAAGCAAGCAGUCACUCUCUCCUCAGCACAUGACCCAGAAGCUUCACUUGUCCUAUGCUUUUCAUCAAGUGCCUGGCUGUCUGCUGCUGCUCUUUGUCAUAGAGUUAAGUUGUCAUUAUCUUAGUUAGUUAGUUAGUUAGAGGUCCAGAUAAUUGUUGUAUGGGCAAGACUCCUGUCCCUCCCUCUCCUUCCCUCCCUUCCUCUCCACCUGUCCCCCAAGUUCCCAGUCUGUGGAGGUCCAGAUAAUUGUUGUAUGGGCAAGACUCCUGUCCCUCCCUCUCCUUCCCUCCCUUCCUCUCCACCUGUCCCCCAAGUUCCCAGUCUGUGGAGGUCCAGAUAAAUGUUGUAUGGGCAAGACUCCUGUCCCUCCCUCUCCUUCCUCUCCCUCUCCCCCAAGUUCCCAGUCUGCAGAGGUCCAGAUAAAUGUUGUAAGGGCAAGACUCCUGUCCCUCCCUCUCCCUUCCUUUCCAGUCUUUCUCUCUUGUUCCAUUAUUUAUUUUCUCUCCCUCCCUCUUUCUUUGCUCUCUCCCUUCUUUCAUCUCCUCUCCCUUCAGCCGCAUUAUCGUCUUCC